CAGGAAGAAAGCUUGCUUUCUUUGCUGGCGACCGGCGCACGGGUGAGUAACACGUAUCCAACCUGCCCUUUACUCGGGGAUAGCCUUUCGAAAGAAAGAUUAAUACCCGAUAGCAUAAUGAUUCCGCAUGGUUUCAUUAUUAAAGGAUUCCGGUAAAGGAUGGGGAUGCGUUCCAUUAGGUUGUUGGUGAGGUAACGGCUCACCAAGCCUUCGAUGGAUAGGGGUUCUGAGAGGAAGGUCCCCCACAUUGGAACUGAGACACGGUCCAAACUCCUACGGGAGGCAGCAGUGAGGAAUAUUGGUCAAUGGGCGCUAGCCUGAACCAGCCAAGUAGCGUGAAGGAUGAAGGCUCUAUGGGUCGUAAACUUCUUUUAUAUAAGAAUAAAGUGCAGUAUGUAUACUGUUUUGUAUGUAUUAUAUGAAUAAGGAUCGGCUAACUCCGUGCCAGCAGCCGCGGUAAUACGGAGGAUCCGAGCGUUAUCCGGAUUUAUUGGGUUUAAAGGGAGCGUAGGUGGACUGGUAAGUCAGUUGUGAAAGUUUGCGGCUCAACCGUAAAAUUGCAGUUGAUACUGUCAGUCUUGAGUACAGUAGAGGUGGGCGGAAUUCGUGGUGUAGCGGUGAAAUGCUUAGAUAUCACGAAGAACUCCGAUUGCGAAGGCAGCUCACUGGACUGCAACUGACACUGAUGCUCGAAAGUGUGGGUAUCAAACAGGAUUAGAUACCCUGGUAGUCCACACAGUAAACGAUGAAUACUCGCUGUUUGCGAUAUACAGUAAGCGGCCAAGCGAAAGCAUUAAGUAUUCCACCUGGGGAGUACGCCGGCAACGGUGAAACUCAAAGGAAUUGACGGGGGCCCGCACAAGCGGAGGAACAUGUGGUUUAAUUCGAUGAUACGCGAGGAACCUUACCCGGGCUUAAAUUGCAGUGGAAUGAUGUGGAAACAUGUCAGUGAGCAAUCACCGCUGUGAAGGUGCUGCAUGGUUGUCGUCAGCUCGUGCCGUGAGGUGUCGGCUUAAGUGCCAUAACGAGCGCAACCCUUAUCUUUAGUUACUAACAGGUUAUGCUGAGGACUCUAGAGAGACUGCCGUCGUAAGAUGUGAGGAAGGUGGGGAUGACGUCAAAUCAGCACGGCCCUUACGUCCGGGGCUACACACGUGUUACAAUGGGGGGUACAGAAGGCAGCUAGCGGGUGACCGUAUGCUAAUCCCAAAAUCCUCUCUCAGUUCGGAUCGAAGUCUGCAACCCGACUUCGUGAAGCUGGAUUCGCUAGUAAUCGCGCAUCAGCCACGGCGCGGUGAAUACGUUCCCGGGCCUUGUACACACCGCCC
rnacentral:rRNA from 1 species